rnacentral:rRNA from 1 species
UACAGAGGGUGCGAGCGUUGUUCGGAGUUACUGGGCGUAAAGCGCAUGUAGGCGGAUAGAGAAGUUGGGUGUGAAAUCCCUGGGCUUAACCCAGGAACUGCGCCCGAAACCAUCUAUCUAGAGUUCAGUAGGGGAGCGGGGAAGUUCCCGGUGUAGAGGUGAAAUUCGUAGAUAUCGGGAGGAACACCAGUGGCGAAGGCGCCGCUCUGGGCUGUAACUGACGCUGAGGUGCGAAAGCUUGGGGAGCAAACAGGAUUAGAUACCCGGGUAGU